rnacentral:lncRNA from 1 species
CCACCACUCUCCGACAAGUCGCAAUAACGGAUGCCACUACUCUCCGUAACAAAUUCCACGUGGCCUCGAACGGUCCACUACCAGACAGUUACGGACGUCGCUGUCAAUCGGUUACGCUCUCUCAUCUAUAAAAGAGACCCCCCAGAUACGUUCUCCUCUAAGCUCUAAAAAACUGUCUCUAAACUCUGCUAAAAUCCCAUUCGAGUGCUCUAUUUCUAUUGAGGUAAAAUACUGACUU